rnacentral:rRNA from 1 species
AGAAUCAACGCUGGCGGCGUGCCUAACACAUGCAAGUCGAACGAGAAAGUGGGAGCAAUCCCAUGAGUAAAGUGGCGCACGGGUGAGUAACACGUGACUAACCUACCCUUGAGUGGGGGAUAACCUAGGGAAACCUGGGCUAAUACCGCAUAAUACCUACGGGUCAAAGGAGCAAUUCGCUUUAGGAGGGGGUCGCGGCAGAUUAGUUAGUUGGCGGGGUAAUGGCCCACCAAGACAGUGAUCUGUAUCCGGCCUGAGAGGGCGCACGGACACACUGGAACUGAAACACGGUCCAGACUCCUACGGGAGGCAGCAGUGGGAAUUUUGCGCAAUGGGGGAAACCCUGACGCAGCAACGCCGCGUGGAGGAUGAAGCCCCGUUGGGCGUAAACUCCUUUCGAUCGGAAGAUAAUGACGGUACCGGAAGAAGAAGCCCCGGCUAACUUCGUGCCAGCAGCCGC